rnacentral:lncRNA from 1 species
UGUAGCACCACAGAGGAGGUUGACAUGUGAGGCCGGCAGUGCAAAUAUCUUUGGUGUACAACUUGGAACGACUGCCUGUCUGACUCAUUGUCUGUUUCUUGGACAUUUAGGUGCAUACUGUGAUAGCCACAAUGUGUGUCAUUGUCGCCAUUAACAAGGUGAGUGUAUAGUCCUUUAAUCAUUUUACAGAUUUACUUUAGUAAUAUUUGCGUAAUCUUUUUGUUUUUUUGUUAUUUAUUGAAUAUUUUUAGUAACUAUUUCUUACAGAGUAAUUUAAUAGGGCAGGAUAUUGUAUAUAUAUUGUUAUAGCAUUGAUUCACUUACAAGUUCCUUUCCUAAUAUUUCCUGGUAAAUUGGCACCCUGUUUUUCAAAAUAUGUGAUCCAUACCUGCGUUUGCAAAUGUAUAGAUAAUCAACAAUAUUUAGGACAAUAAGGGUUCAUAACUGUAUUUUAAACUAUAUGUAGUUAUUUCUUAUUUUAAUUAUAACAAAAUAAAACUUAAUACCCAUGGAUCUUAAUACGGUAAAUCAUCAAGACACUAAUGGACACAUCUUGACGAUUGAACAACUGGAUUCAUAUAAAUGGAACAUAAAAUUGGUUUUCAUGCAAUUUUGAUGUAAAAAUUACUCGAUUCUUUUAUCUAAAUUCACUGUUCAAUUCAAUGAUAGAUGAGCGAGGUUUUGAAGCGUAUAAAGAAUUAUAUUUUAGAUAUAUAUCAAAUUCAAGCUUAAAGCGACACUAACGAAAUCUAUGUCUAUGACACGCCUUUCCACUAGCAUCUGUUUACUUUUUUUAGGUUCUGAUAAAUGAUGAGUUAAAGUACGAAGUAUAUCAUUUAGAUAAUGAAAUAUCUAUUGUUAUCAUAUAAAUACAAUGCCAUUUAUCUGUAAUUUUUUUUUAGAUAAGUGUCGAAAUCGUGGAAUGUCCAAAUGAUGAAUAAAAGUGUAAAAC